UACGGAGGGUGCAAGCGUUAUCCGGAUUCACUGGGUUUAAAGGGUGCGUAGGUGGGAAUGUAAGUCAGUGGUGAAAUCUCCGUGCUUAACAUGGAAACUGCCAUUGAUACUAUGUUUCUUGAAUUAUCUGGAGGUCAGCGGAAUAUGUCAUGUAGCGGUGAAAUGCUUAGAUAUGACAUAGAACACCAAUUGCGAAGGCAGCUGGCUACAGGUUGAUUGACACUGAGGCACGAAAGCGUGGGGAUCAAACAGG
rnacentral:rRNA from 1 species